AAAAGGAAGUGAUUCCGGCGGAGGAUGGGCAUGCGGCGCAUUAGCUGGUUGGCGGGGUAACGGCCCACCAAGGCGACGAUGCGUAGGGGUUCUGAGAGGAAGGUCCCCCACACUGGUACUGAGACACGGACCAGACUCCUACGGGAGGCAGCAGUGAGGAAUAUUGGUCAAUGGGCGGGAGCCUGAACCAGCCAAGUCGCGUGAGGGGAGACGGUCCUAUGGAUUGUAAACCUCUUUAGGCGGGGAGCAAUGCCGGGCACGCGUGCCCGGAGGGAGAGUACCCGCAGAAUAAGCAUCGGCUAACUCCGUGCCAGCAGCCGCGGUAAUACGGAGGAUGCGAGCGUUAUCCGGAUUUAUUGGGUUUAAAGGGUGCGUAGGCGGAUUUUUAAGUCAGCGGUAAAAUGUCCGGGCUCAACCCGGGCCGGCCGUUGAAACUGGGGAUCUUGAGUGGGCGAGAAGUAUGCGGAAUGCGUGGUGUAGCGGUGAAAUGCAUAGAUAUCACGCAGAACUCCGAUUGCGAAGGCAGCAUACCGGCGCCCGACUGACGCUGAGGCACGAAAGCGUGGGGAUCGAACAGGAUUAGAUACCCUGGUAGUCCACGCAGU
rnacentral:rRNA from 1 species